rnacentral:snoRNA from 2 species
CAUUGGCAAGGUAUGAUGAAUCAAUUAGAUGUGUGAAGUUUCCUUGUGAACUUAACUAUUGAGGCAUACAUUCUGUCUGACUUGCCAUG